rnacentral:lncRNA from 1 species
UCUAUUUUUGAAUCAAAUUCAGCAUAUACAUGUUUCUAAUCAAACAAUUUCCCUAAAUCAUUCAUCUAAUUCAUGAGAAAACAUAUAGAAUAAUUCUACUACCUUUUUCAGAAAAGAAAUUAGAAAAACUAGAAGUUGGAUUGAAGAGGAAUUGGGGCAUAGGGUUUAGAUGAGAGAGAGAGUGGGCGUCUGAACGGCGCCGGUGUGGAGAGAAGGUAGGCAGCGCCCUCGCCGGAGAAAUAGGGGCGGCGGCGGCGCCAGAUCUGGAAAAGGGGAGGAGGCAGCGAAGCAGCUGUGCUGUCCGUCGAGGUGAUGGCGGCGGCACCCGUUGCUUCUAGUCGAAGAAAGAAGGAGACCACGCCGGGCUGGAGGAGACGGCGUCGGGCGUAGCGGCAGCGAUGGCUGGCUGGGGGAGCGGCGUCGUGGCCGUCUGGCCGAGAGGGUGAGAGGGGUCGGGAGAGAGGUUGAGGAAGUCAGAGAGAGGGAGGCUGGGAGAGAGAGAUAGGCUGGGAAAGAGAGGAGAGGCGCCGGACGGCACCGUCGUCAGGCGGCGGCGGCGGGAAGGCUGAGAGGAAGAGAUGGUGUGCUUGAGUGUGAGUGUGAGUGCGUGUGUGAAGGUGUGUGUGUUGUGUGCGUGUGUGUGUGCUGAGAGUGAGUGAAAGUGAGAAUGAGUGAGAUUUAAUGAAGAAGAAUGGGUUUAGGCCUUUAAUGUUUGGGCUAGACUUUUAUUUUAUGGGCUAUUUGGA